rnacentral:rRNA from 1 species
CCUACGGGAGGCAGCAGUGAGGAAUAUUGGUCAAUGGACGAGAGUCUGAACCAGCCAAGUAGCGUGAAGGAUGACUGCCCUAUGGGUUGUAAACUUCUUUUAUAUGGGAAUAAAACGUUCCACGUGUGGGAUUUUGUAUGUACCAUAUGAAUAAGGAUCGGCUAACUCCGUGCCAGCAGCCGCGGUAAUACGGAGGAUCCGAGCGUUAUCCGGAUUUAUUGGGUUUAAAGGGAGCGUAGGUGGAUGGUUAAGUCAGUUGUGAAAGUUUGCGGCUCAACCGUAAAAUUGCAGUUGAAACUGGCAGUCUUGAGUACAGUAGAGGUGUGCGGAAUUCGUGGUGUAGCGGUGAAAUGCUUAGAUAUCACGAAGAACUCCGAUUGCGAAGGCAGUUCACUGGACUGCAACUGACACUGAGGCUCGAAAGUGUGGGUAUCAAACAGGAUUAGAUACCCUGGUAGUC